AGGGAUGGUUGCCAGCAGAUCUAGGCCUUGCCGUCGAGAAGAUGAUUCGGGAGAUCAGGAUGUCCCUGUCUGAAAGAUCUCCCUCUGCUCAGGACAAUGUCAGUGUUGCCCCCGAUUCCUCAGGAGGGGAGCCUGUGGACAGAGCUGCAGCAGAGGAAGCUGCAUCUGGCACCGAGAGCUGCAGGAACGGUUCCCAGGAGCCCGAGGAGCCUGAUGCCAUCUGACCAACAUCUCCAGGAGGGCUGCCCUGCGUGGCAGGAGGAGACAGAGGAGAGCCCGUGACCAUCGGGCAGGUAGAAUUCCUCUGCUUGUAAAUAUGUUUAUAGAUUCCUAUGAUUUUACUUAUCAAAGGGUAUAGUUCUGUUUACAGAUUAGAGUGUUCUGUUUAUAUGUGCAUAUAUUGAUAGAUCUGUAGAGUUAAAUGGGGAUAUGUAUUCAGUUAGACAAGUGAUAUAUUUUAUUAUAAAUUUACCUUUAUAGAUUUUCAGAGUUUAAAUUUUUUUGUGUAGAGUCCAAAAAAAAAAUAUAGAUGAAGUUUCAUUUAUAAAUGAGUAUAGUUAUAGAGUAAGAAGGAUAUGAAUGUUUAGAUGAAUAGGUUGCGGUUUGCCUAGGCCUAGGCUGCAUUUUUACCUCUUUCCCCCUUCACCUGCCUUUCUCACCUCUUGCUUUUCCCCCUGUGCCCCCUGUGUCCCCUCUCCCUGUGCUGGGUCCGAGGUGGCGGCCGGGCCGGCCAGAGCAGCACUUCCAGCCCCGGCUGUCCCUGGAGCGGUGGGAGCUGCCGCUGGCCCCAGGCACUGUCCCCUGAGGAGCUGCUGAAGGACGCUGCAUGGAAGACCUUGAGGACAGCCAGAGCCUGAUGGGAGCCAGCAGAGAGAAGCUGAAGGCCAGCAGCAGGAGCAGGGAAUGGGGACCUGCUGCUGCCACCCUGGAGAGAGCUUGGAUGUCCCAUCUGCUGUCCCUGUCCAGGAGAGCUGCUCUGCACGGGAGGAGAAGACCGAGGGAGAGGCUUUGAAGAUGAGGCAGCUGGGAUCCUUCUGCUUUUUGUGCUGUUUAAUUAUAUAUGGACUAGCAUGGAGUUACUGAUAAUUACAUGCAUAUUUUCAUAUGUAGCUUGCUAUUUGUAUUGGUAUAUUUCUGUAUGUAUCUUGUUAUUUUUAUGAAUGUACUCUCUAUGUACGUAUAGAUAUAUACAUACAGGUUUGCAGUUACGUAUUUAUGUAAAUACGUAUCUACUUUUUUAUGUAUGUUGUAAUAUCUGUG